UACGUAGGGUGCGAGCGUUGUCCGGAAUUAUUGGGCGUAAAGAGCUUGUAGGCGGUUUGUCGCGUCUGCUGUGAAAAUCCGGGGCUCAACCCCGGACUUGCAGUGGGUACGGGCAGACUAGAGUGUGGUAGGGGAGACUGGAAUUCCUGGUGUAGCGGUGAAAUGCGCAGAUAUCAGGAGGAACACCCGUGGCUAAGGCGGCUCUCUAGUACGGUACUGACGCUGAGACGCGAAAGCGUGGGGAGCGAAGCAGG
rnacentral:rRNA from 1 species